AAAAAACAGUGCUUCGUUCUAACCAGAAAUUGCUUCCUGCAUGUGAAGCCAAGCCAUCAAAAACCAAUUCCAGUGCCAGAAAAUACACAGGAAAGGAAAACCGAGAUGGCACACAGCAUUUUGUACAGAAUGUGGAAAGCGGCAAACGAAAAUCUAAUAAAAACUCGAAAGUUUCGACUAAAGUAAAAAAGGAGGCCCAGCCCAAAUGCCAAAUACCAAAAGAAACUACUUCAAGUGGAACCAUACAAGCACUCCGACAGCUUGCAGGAGAAAAGGGCGUUCCAUUGUCGGGGAAUAAGGAGCAGUUGAAGCAAAGAUUGCAGUGGUAUGACACGUAUAACUUGAAUUCAUCGAUUAUUGAACCCGUAGAAGCAGUGAAGCCGCUAGACGACUCUGGAUUUAUCGAAGACUUGUCGUUUUUCGCGUGCGAUGAAGUUCUCCAGCAAUCGUUGGGAUGGCUUAGUGUCGUGGAAAUUUUUUCAUAUUUUCAACAACGAUCUGCCCGUCAAGGAUAUCGCAAUGGGAAGCUGCUGCAACAAGCCGGAUUCUUAAGGAAUGUUUGCUACGCGAAGGUGUGCAUUUGUGCAAAAAAGGCUUUCUAAUUUUUAACUUUUCAUAGGUUUAGUUUGAUUAAGUUAUAAGUAUUAGGCAGAUUUUCAUGAAAAAUUAUACUACUGUUACUGUAACUGUCUCAUGUACAUGGGAACCCCAGUAAACAUGGGACAAAUAUUCGUAUACUAGCAGUAUAAGAAGACGAUUUAUUUGGGCAGCACUUAUUCCCGUUUUCAUGUUUUAAUUUGUCUCUUUUCAAUUGAACUAUUUAAUCUCUAGUAUAUGGUUAGUAUCUUUACCUAGUAGCAAUGCAAUUAUGUAAUACCAGUAAUACCACCUAAAGAAAUACUACUGGUAUUUAUGUCAAGGUACAAACAGUACUAUUAGUAUGUCAUCUGGAAUGCCAUGGCACAAUUAUGUACUAGGGUUUAUAGGCAUGGUACAACAAGUGUGUUUUUAGUAUUAAAAAAACUGGAUAUAGGGAAUGCUGUCCAAGCAUAUCUUAUUCAUACAAAGAGCUAAUCAUGAGUUACACAAUGUUGUGGCUUACAGCAAUGAACUGAGUGGUGGUGAUAGGUUGCUCAUAAUUAUAAGGGCGUAUUUAAUUUUAAUAUUAAUGUUCAUGUUUCAGUGAAGCAUUUAUAGAGGUAGUCAUAAGAAUCAUAAA